GCUUGACCAUAUAACCUCAAGUUGCCUUGGCCGACAUGACAUGUCGAUAGAUCCAAGUGCACGCUACGUCACAAGACCAAACGAGAGGCAGGCGCUACAGGCGCGUCUCUUUGUAAAGCCGGCAUAUCCAUGCCCGCUCCCUGCAAAGACACGCUCUGCGGCGACACUCCAAAAGCCUCCCUGGUGAAAUUAGCGCUGUGGAACCACCCGAUCCCAUCCCGAACUCGGAAGUGAAACGCAGCUGCGCCGAUGGUAGUGUGGCUCAAGCCAUGCGAGAGUAGGUCAUCGCCAGGG
rnacentral:rRNA from 1 species